rnacentral:rRNA from 1 species
GACGAACGCUGGCGGCGUGCUUAACACAUGCAAGUCGAACGAGACCCCGUCUCCGGGUGGGUGUUCUAGUGGCGAACGGGUGAGUAACACGUGGGCAACCUGCCCCUGGCUCUGGGAUAACUCCAAGAAAUUGGGGCUAAUACCGGAUAUUCACUGCUGGCCGCAUGGUUGGUGGUGGAAAGAUUUAUCGGCUGGGGAUGGGCCCGCGGCCUAUCAGCUUGUUGGUGGGGUAGUGGCCACCAAGGCGACGACGGGUAGCCGGCCUGAGAGGACGACCAGCCACACUGGGACUGAGACACGGCCCAGACUCCUACGGGAGGCAGCAGUGGGGAAUCUUGCUCAAUGGGCGAAAGCCUGAAGCAGCGACGCCGCGUGCGGGAUGAAGGCCCUCGGGUUGUAAACCGCUUUCAGCAGGGACGAAAUUGACGGUACCUGCAGAAGAAGGCCCGGCCAACUACGUGCCAGCAGCCGCCGCAGUAAC